rnacentral:rRNA from 1 species
CCUACGGGAGGCAGCAGUGGGGGAUAUUGCACAAUGGGGGAAACCCUGAUGCAGCGACGCCGCGUGGGCGAAGAAGUAUUUCGGUAUGUAAAGCCCUAUCAGCAGGGAAGAAGAAAUGACGGUACCUGAGUAAGAAGCACCGGCUAAAUACGUGCCAGCAGCCGCGGUAAUACGUAUGGUGCAAGCGUUAUCCGGAUUUACUGGGUGGAAAGGGAGCGCAGGCGGCACGGCAAGCCUGAUGUGAAAGCCCGCGGCCCAACCGCGGGACUGCAGUGGGAACUACCGGGCUGGAGUGCCGGAGAGGUAGGCGGAAUUCCUGGUGUAGCGGUGAAAUGCGUAGAUAUUAGGAGGAACACCAGUGGCGAAGGCGGCAUACUGGACGGUGACUGACGCUGAGGCUCGAAAGCGUGGGGAGCAAACAGGAUUAGAUACCCCUGUAGUC